rnacentral:lncRNA from 1 species
GACGUGCGGCUGGUGCGAGGCGGCGGACGGCAUGACGGAGGGGAGGCUCUGGUGGCUGGAGUCGCUGAGGUCCGAUCCCGACGGGCUGCCGGGGCUGAAGCAGAGCCCCGGGUACCCGUCGCUGCUGGUCCGCUUCAGCGGGCGGCGGUCGUCGUCGACCGCGUCAUCACCGGGCGAGGCGGAGGCGGAGGCGGAGGCGGACGCCGAGGAUGAUGAGGAGUACUUGCGCUUGAGCGUGGAGUUCCAGUGGUUCUUGAUGGCGUUGUCGGUGCGGCCGGAGAGCAGGCGGGCGAUGGUGGCCCACUUGUUGCCGAACCUUGCGUGGGCGCGGAGGAUGGUGUCGUCCUCGUCGGGGGUGAAGGGGCGGUGCUCCACCUGCGGCGAGAGCUGGUUGCACCACCGGAGGCGGCACGACUUGCCGGACCGCCCCGGGAUGGACUUGCUGAUGAGCGACCAGUUGCGCGCCCCGUGGCGUCCCACC